rnacentral:rRNA from 1 species
UUUAAUUUGAAGCAACGCGAAGAACCUUACCUAGACCUGACAUCUCCUGAAUUCCUGUUAAUCGAGGAAGUCCCUUCGGGGACAGGAAGACAGGUGGUGCAUGGUUGUCGUCAGCUCGUGUCGUGAGAUGUUGGGUUAAGUCCCGCAACGAGCGCAACCCUUAUUGUUAGUUGCUACCAUUAAGUUGAGCACUCUAGCGAGACUGCCCGUGAUAACCCGGAGGAAGGUGGGGAUGACGUCAAAUCAUCAUGCCCCUUAUGUCUAGGGCUACACACGUGCUACAAUGGCAAGUACAAAAAGAUGCAAUAUCGCAAGGUGGAGCUAAACUUAAAAACUUGUCUCAGUUCGGAUUGUAGGCUGAAACUCGCCUACAUGAAGCUGGAG